rnacentral:rRNA from 1 species
UACGUAGGGUGCAAGCGUUAAUCGGAAUUACUGGGCGUAAAGCGUGCGCAGGCGGUUUUGUAAGUCUGACGUGAAAUCCCCGGGCUCAACCUGGGAAUUGCGUUGGAGACUGCAAGGCUAGAAUCUGGCAGAGGGGGGUAGAAUUCCACGUGUAGCAGUGAAAUGCGUAGAGAUGUGGAGGAACACCGAUGGCGAAGGCAGCCCCCUGGGUCAAGAUUGACGCUCAUGCACGAAAGCGAGGGGAGCAAACAGG